ACACCUACCACGGAAUUUGUAAAGUAAAUCUUUUCGUUAUUGCCUUUUAUUUUAUAUAAAAGAUGAGUUCAAAUGAAAAUAGCAUUAAACUCCGAUUAAGCCAUGACUGAAAAAGUUCUACACGUGCUUUUGUUCAUUCUGUCCCUGAGUGCCGUUGGGAGGGCGUCCGAAAAUAUAAUAGAUCCUAUAAUUUGUCCAGCCUGUGUUGCCGAAUUUUGUCCUUACAAUGAAGCACAAGGUAUUCAAUGAUGUCCUCCGUGUUUUUGCGAUAAUCCAUGCAGGCACCAUGUAUGUCCUGAAAAUGAAAUAAGCGUUGGCGAGGAACUGCCGUGCCCCAGGUAUCCAUGUGGACAAAAAUGCCGCUGUGUUUGUGGAUUAAAAUGCCGUUACGGUUACGAAACUGAGUGUGGAGGGACACGUCAAAUUUGCAAAUGUCGAGAUCCAUGUCGUGAUGUAGUGUGCCCUUUUGGUCUAUUGUGUCAAGUGGAAGAGCCAAACUGCACAGAAAAUCUGUGUCCAGAACCUCGCCCUGUGUGUUCGAGCCUUUUACUACAAUGAUGACCAUGGCAACAGUAAUUGCUUAAUGCUUCACAAGAAUCAUGUAACAGGCGAUCAAAAAUGAGUUGCGGUAGAAUCGCCUUUCGAAGUUCAAUUUCCCAUGUAAACAAAAAUUCCAGCAACUCAUUUUUGAUCGCAUAGUAUUAGGCACUGAGGCAGUAAGUCCAACCAGCCACCUUACUGAUAAGACUUUAUGUAUA